CCGCCGAGCGCCUCCAGGCUCUGGUUUUGGGGUGGUUUGUGCGUGCGCGAGUGUGUGUGCGCGUGUGUGCGCGCGUGUGUCCAGCAGCCGGGGCAGCGUUGACUGGGGUAGGAAGGUUCGUCGUAAAGCAGGGCUCGGAGCGACGGCGAGGUCUCUUCGCGGAAGGGUUUCCCGGUCGCCGAGCGUGAGUGGCAGGCGGGGUGGAGCGCGGUGCGGGAUGGGGCUGCGGAAUCCAGGAAGUGGCCGAAAGUCCUCCUUUUCUCGUUCUCCGUUGUAAAUGGCUCCUGAAGACUUCUGGAUUUUACAGUGCUAGCGAGAAGGUCCAUAAACCGUUCUCGCCCGAUUCAGUCACUUUUAUGACCUCGCCACCCCAACCCCCGCGGGUCCCAGGUGCGGCGAGCUGGGAAAGGGUGAAGGUGGGAAGUCCGCGGCGGAGCCGGAUCCAGGGCUUUAAAUUUUAACCCGAGUUCGAUCGCCUGCAGCUCCCAGAGAGGACGCGGGCAGCGUCGUUCCCACCGCGGCGUCCAAGGUCUCGUUUUAUUGAAGUCCGGCGGCGAAUUGUGCCAAGCGCUCGAACCGGCUGCAUUCUGCAAAGCUUGUGUGUAAGCAGUUUGCGUCCAGGCUGCGAACGGCCUCCCCGCCACAGCCGGAGCCCGGCACCGUGCAAGCGUGAGGCUCCGAGGGCUUUAGGGGGACAGCAGCAGACCCCGCCGCCCUCGCUGUGGGCGGAGACUUCCGGGCUCCGCGGGGACCCCAAUGCCCCACCGGCGCCCCAAACAAAGGGAAAACAGCCUCUGACUCCUUAUCUGGGCUCCCCCUGACUGACGACAGAUCCCCCAGCUUCCCGGCUGCCGCCUUAAACCGAAUAAAAGUCUCUCCCAGGGCUGCGAAGUCUGCGGAGCCCGCGGUGUCUUCCUGGGGUCGCAGAAGGCGAAUUCGAGAAACUGGCGACCGUGUGACCUGGAGGACACUAGGGUCCUGGGCCGCCCCACCUGGGAGGGCCAGGGAACUGGCAAACUCCAAGUCGAAGAUGGGACCCUAAGAGCUCCCUGCUGGACUUCACGAAAAACCAAACCGGAGUCCGGGUGCCUAAAUUACGGGCCUUUUUUUAUUAGUUACACUAAAUAAUAACGAUAAAAACAAACCACCCUAACAUCCGGUGUGGUGAUGCACGCCUGUAAUCCCAGAACCCUGGAAGGCUGAGGCAGGAGGAUCUCCAUGAGUUGAGGCCAGUCUGGGGCUACUGAGUUCUUGUUUAACCUGGCAUACCUAGUGAGACCCUAUCUCAAGAAGCAAAAAGAAAAAAAACUCACCCCUAGCUUCCCGCCCCCACCCGUGGUCUUGCCAUGGCCCGUGUCAUCCCAGGCUCUCAGGGUUUGAACACAGGUGACCUGGAAGUUGGACAAACUGUGUAGAUG